AAGUCAGAUGUGAAAGCCCCGGGCUUAACCUGGGAACUGCAUUUGAAACUGGUCAACUAGAGUAUGGUAGAGGAAAGUGGAAUUUCUGGUGUAGCGGUGAAAUGCGUAGAUAUCAGAAGGAACAUCAAUGGCGAAGGCAGCUUUCUGGACCAAUACUGACGCUGAGGUACGAAAGCGUGGGUAGCAAACAGGAUUAGAUACCCUGGUAGUCCACGCCGUAAACGAUGAUAACUAGCCGUUGGGGGGAUUUACCCCUUAGUGGCGAAGCUAACGCGUUAAGUUAUCCGCCUGGGGAGUACGGCCGCAAGGUUAAAACUCAAAUGAAUUGACGG
rnacentral:rRNA from 1 species